UACGUAGGGGGCAAGCGUUGUCCGGAUUUAUUGGGCGUAAAGAGCGUGUAGGCGGCUUGACAGGUCUGCUGUGAAAACUCGAGGCUCAACCUCGAGAUGUCGGCGGAAACCGUCUGGCUAGAGUCCGGAAGAGGCGAGUGGAAUUCCCGGUGUAGCGGUGAAAUGCGCAGAUAUCGGGAGGAACACCUAUGGCGAAGGCAGCUCGCUGGGACGUUACUGACGCUGAGACGCGAAAGCGUGGGGAGCAAACAGG
rnacentral:rRNA from 1 species